rnacentral:tRNA from 1 species
GGGGGAGUAGCUCAAUUGGCAGAGCGGUGGCUUUAUAAGCCAUGAGCGCCAGAUCAGCGCACGGUUGCGGGUUCGAGUCCCGCCUCCCCUACCA